rnacentral:snRNA from 1 species
AGCUUUGCGCAGUGGCAGUAUCGUAGCCAAUGAGGUUUAUCUGAGGCGCGAUUAUUGCUAAUUGAAAACAUACACAGUAACUAAUGUAUGUAACUAAAUUUUCAUUCAUUAAAAAAACUCUUACAUU